UUACUGUUUUUUGUUUUGACUUGAAAAAAGAAAGACUAACUGCAGUCAGGUACUAAGGAGACUGCAAUUUGGAUGACAGUAUUGACAUAGUGAGAAAUCAAAAUAAUCACUAGUGUUAGUAAAUACGAAGUUUCUGAGUUAGUUAAUUGCAUAUCAUGAACUAACUGCAACAAUAUUGCUGAAAUGUGCAUGACUUCUCUUGAGGUG